rnacentral:rRNA from 1 species
CUCGUAGGCGGUUUGUCGCGUCGGGAGUGAAAUCCAGGUGCUUAACACCUGGCUUGCUUUCGAUACGGGCAGACUGGAGGCAUGCAGGGGAGAACGGAAUUCCUGGUGUAGCGGUGAAAUGCGCAGAUAUCAGGAGGAACACCGGUGGCGAAGGCGGUUCUCUGGGCAUGUUCUGACGCUGAGGAGCGAAAGUGUGGGGAGCGAACA